rnacentral:ncRNA from 2 species
UACCGUUAUCAAGAAUCCUGAUAAAAAGGGUAGCAACCUGCAACAACAAGCAAGGUGCUGAAAAUGAUAAGCCGUUUCUGGAAAAAAUGUUGAUUCC